GUGUCAGCAGCCGCGGUAAUACGUAGGGGGCAAGCGUUGUCCGGAAUUAUUGGGCGUAAAGAGCUCGUAGGCGGUGUGUCACGUCGAUCGUGAAAACUUACAGCUUAACUGUGAGCGUGCGGUCGAUACGGGCAUCACUUGAGUUCGGUAGGGGAGACUGGAAUUCCUGGUGUAGCGGUGAAAUGCGCAGAUAUCAGGAGGAACACCGGUGGCGAAGGCGGGUCUCUGGGCCGAUACUGACGCUGAGGAGCGAAAGCGUGGGGAGCAAACAGGAUUAGAAACCCCAGUAGUCC
rnacentral:rRNA from 1 species